rnacentral:rRNA from 1 species
UACGGAGGGUGCAAGCGUUAUCCGGAUUCACUGGGGUUAAAGGGUGCGUAGGCGGCGCGGUAAGUCGGGUGUGAAAUCUCGGAGCUUAACUCCGAAACUGCAUUCGAUACUGCCGUGCUUGAGGACUGGAGAGGAGACUGGAAUUUACGGUGUAGCGGUGAAAUGCGUAGAUAUCGUAAGGAAGACCAGUGGCGAAGGCGGGUCUCUGGACAGUUCCUGACGCUGAGGCACGAAGGUCAGGGGAGCAAACGGG